rnacentral:rRNA from 1 species
UACGAAGGGUGCGAGCGUUAAUCGGAAUUACUGGGCGUAAAGCGUGCGUAGGUGGCUUGUUAAGUCGGAUGUGAAAGCCCUGGGCUUAACCUGGGAACUGCAUCCGAUACUGGUGAGCUUGGAGUUUGGAAGAGGGUGGUGGAAUUCCCGGUGUAGCGGUGAAAUGCGUAGAGAUCGGGAGGAACAUCAGUGGCGAGGGCGGCCACCUGGUCCAAAACUGACGCUGAUGCACGAAAGCGUGGGGAGCAAACAGG